rnacentral:rRNA from 1 species
GACGAACGCUGGCGGCGUGCUUAACACAUGCAAGUCGAACGAUGAAGCUGGAGCUUGCUCCGGUGGAUUAGUGGCGAACGGGUGAGUAACACGUGAGCAAUUUGCCCUUGACUCUGGGAUAACUGCGGGAAACUGUAGCUAAUACCGGAUACUUUCACUGGAAGGCAUCUUCUGGUGAAGAAAGAAUUUCGGUCAAGGAUGAGCUCGCGGCCUAUCAGCUUGUUGGUGAGGUAACGGCUCACCAAGGCGACGACGGGUAGCCGGCCUGAGAGGGUGACCGGCCACACUGGGACUGAGACACGGCCCAGACUCCUACGGGAGGCAGCAGUGGGGAAUAUUGCACAAUGGGCGCAAGCCUGAUGCAGCAACGCCGCGUGAGGGAUGAAGGCCUUCGGGUUGUAAACCUCUUUUAGCAGGGAAGAAGCGAAAGUGACAGUACCUGCAGAAAAAGCACCGGCUAACUACGUGCCAGCCGCCGCGGUAA